rnacentral:rRNA from 1 species
UGGGGAAUAUUGCACAAUGGGCGCAAGCCUGAUGCAGCCAUGCCGCGUGUGUGAAGAAGGCCUUCGGGUUGUAAAGCACUUUCAGCGAGGAGGAAGGUGGUGAACUUAAUACGUUCAUCAAUUGACGUUACUCGCAGAAGAAGCACCGGCUAACUCCGUGCCAGCAGCCGCGGUAAUACGGAGGGUGCAAGCGUUAAUCGGAAUUACUGGGCGUAAAGCGCACGCAGGCGGUUUGUUAAGUCAGAUGUGAAAUCCCCCGGGCUCAACCUGGGAACUGCAUUUGAAACUGGCAAGCUAGAGUCUCGUAGAGGGGGGCUAGAAUUCCAGGUGUAGCGGUGAAAUGCGUAGAGAUCUGGAGGAAUACCGGUGGCGAAGGCGGCCCCCCUGGACGAAGACUGACGCUCAGGUGCGAAAGGCGUGGGGCAGCAAACAGGAUUAGAUACCCUGGUAGUCCA